GCAGGUGUAGCUCAGUGGAUAGAGCAUCAGCCUGCAGACUGAAGGGUCCCGGGUUCGAUUCCGGUCAAGAGCA
rnacentral:tRNA from 1 species